GUGGGAUUAUCAUUAGUUCUUGUAGGUUUGGGAUAGGCGGUGGAGUUAGGAGCAAUGUUUUGCAGGCAGGGGGUGGAUCUCACAAAGUACAUUCUCAAGGGUGGGAUUACAAAGAAUUACGAAGAACCUUCUUAAGGGUGGGAGAGAUUACAAAGUACAUUGAUCAGUUAGGAUGGGGCAGAAACAAAUCACAAUGGUGGAAUGUCAUCAGUUAAGGCUAUUUUCACUUCCUUUGUGGAUCUUCAGUUGCUUCAGGCCAUCUGGAUGUAUACGUGCAGGUCCCUGGGGAUAUGAUGGCUUAGCUUGGGCUCAGAGGCCUGACACUUGCACAUAAACUGUUUUUUUUUUCUUUCAAUAGUUUUACAUUUAGGAGGCCUAGUUACUUUUAAAUUAUACAACAUUUCUUGCAUAAUUUUUUAUAACAUUUUUCUCUUUCACGACUUUCGCAGACAAUUCUUCGACAUGCCUCAACUUUCUGACUUAUUACAAACAUUUCUUUCUUUAAACAACCAGUUAAUUUAUUUCAGGACAAGAAUUUACCAUAUAACACUCUUUUUAUGUAAAUUCUGCCCCUUCUUUUUUUUUUUCCUGAAGAUGAUAACCAUUCUUUUCCAAAGCGAACUUCUUUUAUGUCUGUGGACUAGACUGUCUGAGGCCACAAGAUCAGAAAUUACUAUAAUACAUGUUACACUGUUAACUUUUAGCAAACUUUACUUUUGUUGAAAACCUUGUAAGCUUGGGAUUUUAAUUAUCCUUUGCUAUUAGUAAGACCUCGUUUUGUCAAAAUUAACUUAGAAUUCGUAUAGAUGGCUUUUUUUUUUUCCUUUAAUUACCUGGGAGGAACCAUAGAUCAUCCUUUCCUGAAGGGAGUUCCUCCUAGGUAUGGUAGGGCCUUUGUACGGUAAUUAAGAUUUAGAUCCCCUGUUAGGAAACCUGCUGGGUUAAGGGAAUUUUCAGUAGUUAAAGUUAAAUCAUCCUUUUUUUUUUUUCCUUAGGCUACUUCUGAACUGGUGAGGUGUGCUCACAAUGAGGUUUCCUGUAAAAGUUAUUUUUUUACUUUUUUCUGUUAGCAAAGCAGUUGCAGCUACAGAUUGAAUGCAUUUGAGCCAUCCACGGGUUACUGGGUUAAGGAUUUUUGAUGGGAAGGCCUCAGUGCUUUCGGGAUAUGCCCUUGUUUACACUGACAACAAAGUGGUAUUGGAGUGUUACAGGGUUACAGAGAAUACUUUCAAUUAUCAAUUAUAGGUUUUAAAUUUAUCUUGGCUUUUAAAGGAAUAGGGUACAGUGUUGUUGUUGUUUCUAACUACUUGUAUAUAUAUCUCUUUUUUUCUUUUUUUCCUCUUGAUUUUCUGUCUCUUUCUCUUUGACUUUCCUUUU
rnacentral:lncRNA from 1 species